rnacentral:misc_RNA from 1 species
GGCUCCGGGACCUCUGCAGCAGGAGCUCCUGGCACUGCUGCUCGGCGGCGCCAUCCUCCGCCGAGCCAUGCACGAACCGGCAGCUGCCGCCGUUCUUGCAGAAUCCCCUCGCGAAGUAGAGGCACGGCCGCCAGCCGGCGGCCUCCGCCGCGUCAGCGGCGGAGCAGCUCCGGCGGGGCUGUCCGUUGGCUGCCCAGUAGGCGUACUCAGCCGCCAGGUCGCCGCCUUUAGGGCCGAUCUGGUCAUUAACCUC